rnacentral:rRNA from 1 species
CCUACGGGCGGCAGCAGUGGGGAAUUUUGGACAAUGGGCGCAAGCCUGAUCCAGCUAUUCCGCGUGUGGGAAGACGGCCUUCGGGUUGUAAACCACUUUUGUAGAGAACGAAAAGUCUAUUGAUCAUACCGAUAGAUGAUGACGGUACUCUAAGAAUAAGCACCGGCUAACUACGUGCCAGCAGCCGCGGUAAUACGUAGGGUGCGAGCGUUAAUCGGAAUUACUGGGCGUAAAGGGUGUGCAGGCGGUUUUGCUAGAUGGAUGUGAAAGCCACGGGCUUAACCUGGGAAAGCCAUACAUGACUGCAAGACUAGAGUGCGUCAGAGGGGGGUGGAAUUCCAAGUGUAGCAGUGAAAUGCGUAGAUAUUUGGAAGAACACCGAUGGCGAAGGCAGCCCCCUGGGACGCAACUGACGCUCAUACACGAAAGCGUGGGGAGCAAACAGGAUUAGAUACCCGAGUAGUC